rnacentral:lncRNA from 10 species
GAGAAGCACAAGGACUGGACUUUGACAGGAAGCAACGAGGCAAGAGGGAAGCUCGAGAACAGGUUUUGCUGAGGAUUCCCCCCAAGAAAAGUGCUCCCCGGGAGGCCGUUCCUGGCACCAAGACUGGCGGAGCCACCACACCCGUUAAAGGGAUCCACCUGGACAGCGAUCAGGCGUGAGCCCCCCGAGGGGAAGUUGAAGUGGAAGCAGACAAGCACCUCCAAGGAUCACGUAGGACCAGCAGAAGCAGCGUAAAGUAUUGGAACUUUGAAUCUGACAUCAGAAAGACCUG